UGACUGGGGCGGUCUCCUCCCAAAGAGUAACGGAGGAGCACGAAGGUUGGCUAAUCCUGGUCGGACAUCAGGAGGUUAGUGCAAUGGCAUAAGCCAGCUUGACUGCGAGCGUGACGGCGCGAGCAGGUGCGAAAGCAGGUCAUAGUGAUCCGGUGGUUCUGAAUGGAAGGGCCAUCGCUCAACGGAUAAAAGGUACUCCGGGGAUAACAGGCUGAUACCGCCCAAGAGUUCAUAUCGACGGCGGUGUUUGGCACCUCGAUGUCGGCUCAUCACAUCCUGGGGCUGAAGUAGGUCCCAAGGGUAUGGCUGUUCGCCAUUUAAAGUGGUACGCGAGCUGGGUUUAGAACGUCGUGAGACAGUUCGGUCCCUAUCUGCCGUGGGCGCUGGAAGAUUGAGGGGGGCUGCUCCUAGUACGAGAGGACCGGAGUGGACGCAUCACUGGUGUUCGGGUUGUCAUGCCAAUGGCACUGCCCGGUAGCUAAAUGCGGAAGAGAUAAGUGCUGAAAGCAUCUAAGCACGAAACUUGCCCCGAGAUGAAUCUUCCCUGAGACUUUAAGUCUCCUGAAGGAACGUUGAAGACGACGACGUUGAUAGGCCGGGUGUGUAAGCGCAGCGAUGCGUUGAGCUAACCGGUACUAAUGAACCGUGAGGCUUAACCUUACAACGC
rnacentral:rRNA from 1 species